rnacentral:ncRNA from 1 species
CGAUUCUGUGGAGGCCUGAUCCAUAGCGGUACUGGUCGCAGCUCUUUCUGGAUAGAAAGAACGCUAUUGGGGAGCCAGUUGCGAAACCGGCCACGUAGCCG